UGGGGAAUAUUGGACAAUGGGCGAAAGCCUGAUCCAGCAAUGCCGCGUGAGUGAUGAAGGCCUUAGGGUUGUAAAGCUCUUUUACCCGGGAUGAUAAUGACAGUACCGGGAGAAUAAGCUCCGGCUAACUCCGUGCCAGCAGCCGCGGUAAUACGGAGGGAGCUAGCGUUGUUCGGAAUUACUGGGCGUAAAGCGCGCGUAGGCGGUUACUCAAGUCAGAGGUGAAAGCCCGGGGCUCAACCCCGGAACUGCCUUUGAAACUAGGUGACUAGAAUCUUGGAGAGGUCAGUGGAAUUCCGAGUGUAGAGGUGAAAUUCGUAGAUAUUCGGAAGAACACCAGUGGCGAAGGCGACUGACUGGACAAGUAUUGACGCUGAGGUGCGAAAGCGUGGGGAGCAAACAGG
rnacentral:rRNA from 1 species